rnacentral:rRNA from 1 species
GAUGAACGCUAGCGGCAGGCCUAAUACAUGCAAGUCGAACGAUAGUAUUAAGCUUGCUUAAUAUGAAAGUGGCGCACGGGUGCGUAACGCGUAUGAAACCUACCUUAAUCAGGGGGAUAGCCUUUCGAAAGAAAGAUUAAUACCGCAUAAUAUCACGAUGGGGCAUCCUGUUGUGAUCAAAUAUUUAUAGGAUUAAGAUGGUCAUGCGUGACAUUAGCUAGUUGGAGAGGUAAUGGCUCACCAAGGCGACGAUGUCUAGGGGAUCUGAGAGGAUGGCCCCCCACACUGGUACUGAGACACGGACCAGACUCCUACGGGAGGCAGCAGUAAGGAAUAUUGGUCAAUGGGCGGAAGCCUGAACCAGCCAUGCCGCGUGCAGGAAGACGGCCCUACGGGUUGUAAACUGCUUUUAUUCGGGAAUAAAUCUUUCUACGUGUAGGGAGUUGAAUGUACUGAAAGAAUAAGGAUCGCUAACUCCGUGCAGC